rnacentral:tRNA from 1 species
AGGCCCUGGGGUGUCACACGUGAGAUUGCAAAUCUCAAGAAGCAGGCUAAAGCCUGCCGGGGCUUC